GUCUGAUCGGGAUUCAGGCGCCGCUGGGUCUCGGCUCCGCUCGGGGGCUCGCGCACAACCGGAAAUCACCCGCGACCCGCUUCCGUUCUGCUCUGAGUUCUUCUGCUAGCCCUGCUCCUGUUUUACAGCUCUCCACAGUCUGUGCAACUCUGACUACAAACAUUAGCUCAGCCCUGCAUGGGAGGCACUGUCAAGAGGCUCAACAGCAGUGGCCUUAGAGUUGUUGGGGUCCUGGGCAAGCGAGUCAUUUGAGGCCCCUUAGAGGUAUGUACUCAGGAGCUUCUCCAGCAGCUGCCAGAGGACUCUCCCUGCCAGCCCCAGCCCUGGGGCUUAGAUGUGCCCAGGGCCCUGCAUCCUUCCAAUCAGCUGACCAGGAACGGGUGCUAGGGGUGUUGAUCUAAGGACAUGGCACUUGCAGAUAAGGUUCUUUGCGUCAAUCCUGGUAUCUUUUAGUAGGCCAGCUGAAUAGUUACAGAAAUAUAUCUUGGCAAGCUUUUGGGUUGAAAACCCUUUGUUGGGCUGAGGAAGCACCUGCAGUUGGUGUGCAGAGGGGGUUGGGAUGGAGUGCUGCCACCUAACACCCCAUGCUGCCACUCUUCUGCCUCUUGCAAGGAGUGGGGUAAGGGAGCAGAGGCCAGUGCUCCUGGCCUUGGCUCCCCCACCCUCUGUCCAGUCCUCAUCACGGCAUUGGAAUCAUGGCAGUUCCCCCUCCCUCUUCUUAGUUUCUGUUCUGCUGAAAGACUGCCUUCCGAAUCUUUUUGGGUUUUUUUCUUCUCUUCCCAAUUCAAUUCAGGUUUGGUGAUUCAGCCACCAAAUCUUCUCUGAAUCAAAUCACAGACCAGAGCUUCGCGCGCCCUAGUAGCAGGCUCCUUAGAAAUCUUUGUUACUGAAACAAUUCUGAAAGCAAGUUAUGGGAUAUCUCUUUUUUUUUUUUU